CUUCAGCGAUCCGAUCCGCAGCGGCUCCGCGCGAUCCUGCCCGUACGCGGCGAUCAACGCCUGCGCCUC
rfam:Nocardia soli strain Y48, complete genome.